rnacentral:tRNA from 1 species
AGGCAGUUAGUUUAGUAAAAAUAUUUGGUUUCGACCCAAAAGCUUAUGGUUUAAGUCCGUAACUACCUA